GAUGAACGCUGGCGGCGUGCCUAAUACAUGCAAGUCGAGCGAACGGACGAGAAGCUUGCUUCUCUGAUGUUAGCGGCGGACGGGUGAGUAACACGUGGAUAACCUACCUAUAAGACUGGGCUAACUUCGGGAAACCGGAGCUAAUACCGGAUGAUAUUUUGAACCGCAUGGUUCAAAAGUGAAAGACGGUCUUGCUGUCACUUAUAGAUGGAUCCGCGCUGCAUUAGCUAGUUGGUAAGGUAACGGCUUACCAAGGCAACGAUGCAUAGCCGACCUGAGAGGGUGAUCGGCCACACUGGAACUGAGACACGGUCCAGACUCCUACGGGAGGCAGCAGUAGGGAAUCUUCCGCAAUGGGCGAAAGCCUGACGGAGCAACGCCGCGUGAGUGAUGAAGGUCUUCGGAUCGUAAAACUCUGUUAUUAGGGAAGAACAUAUGUGUAAGUAACUGUGCACAUCUUGACGGUACCUAAUCAGAAAGCCACGGCUAACUACGUG
rnacentral:rRNA from 1 species